GCUAUAAACUCCAGAAUGGCAGGAAUUGGGCCUUGUUCUAAAUAAUAUUCUGAAGCACGUAUAUGUCAGAGGACAAAGCAAGUUGGUAUGUUAAGCACCCAACCCAGGCAGUCUGAAAUCAAAGAGGUGGUGUUAUGCAGCAGGUGUUUACAAAAUAAUGAUGGAAGGCAGGAAUGGUGGAAACUGUGCUAUCUUGAAAGACAGGCAUUUUCAAAGAUUAAGAUGAGGCUGGGCCUUGGUCAAGAUGGUGUCUCAAGUAGUAAUAUGCACAAUUUAUAUAGAAGCCAAGGCUCCUGUCUUGCUUUUAAAACCUCUCUCUCUCUCUCUAAUACAGGACAAAGGGCUUUACAAUAGUUCUAUAAGAAAUAAGCAAAGCACAACUCCAUGUAAAAUAAUUCCCAGGCAAAUGCUUAUAUCUUUGCUAUCAUGUCCUUAUUGGGAAUAAGAUCUAUUUUUUACACAGGCUCAAGUGGAAUUUGCAAAGUACAAAGCCAAUCGAAAACAAAAUACCUCAAGAAUGGAAGAGUUGCUCACCAAGAGAAAUCUAAAAUGAUCCAUUUGUGUCUCUCUAUGCCAUACUGAAACAAAUUAUACGUAGCCUAUACUGCUGUCUUCUGGAGCAAUGUAGAGCAACUUGGAGCCAGUGAGGCAGAUCUUCCUGUACACAGACACCAUCUCUGGCACUCAGUGGCCAGUAUCAGCAGUGGCUUUGCCCUGCAGCCAGUUUCCAGAAGUCCAGAUGAAAUCUUUCACUUCUGUGGCAUGCUGCCUAGAUGCUAAUAGCAUCUCUUAGACACAGCUGCCUCUCACAGGGACUCCAGAGGAUAGAACAAGACACUCCUUGUUGCUAUCACUAAAAGGAGCGGCUUUUUGAAACUUUCAAUUGAGUCAAUUGAGUGACUCCCACCCCGCUCUUAGAUGCUGUCAAAUCCACAGGACUUCCCCUGGGGCUUUCAAGAGCCUGCCAAGAGGCCGGGUGGGGCAGCUCACACUUGAAAUCCCAGCACUUUGGGAGGCCGAGGCAGGGAUCACCUGAGGUCGGGAGUUCGAGACCAGCCUGACCAACAUGGAGAAACCCCAUCUCUGCUAAAAAUACAAAAUUAGCUGGGCGUGGUGGUGCACGCCUGUAAUCCCAGCUACUCAGGAGGCUGAGGCAGGAGAAUUGCUUGAACCUGGGAGGCGGAGGUUACGGUGAGCCGAGAGUACGCCAUUGCACUCCAGCCUGGGCGACAAGAGCAAAACUCCAUCUCAAAAAAAAAAAAAAAGAGCCUGCUAAGGAGCUCCUCCAGCUAUGAAGCAGAAAGCACUACAUCUCUAAGGCAGGAACUAAGUUGUAAGAUGGAUUCUAGGGACAGGAAAAACCAGGGCAUAGACUUACCCACGAUUAAAUUUAGACAUGAAGUCUAGGGCUCACUCACAGACAUCUAUUUUCUCCAGGGACAUAUCGAUAUAAAACAAUUGAGAUGAAUUCGCAAUCUACCACACAGCCAGUUCAUGGACUUUUCCCUUUGCCCAAAGUGACAAGAGUAAGCAAUGCUGCACUAAAGUCCAUCUGCGGCAUAUCAACUUUCAAGACUCGCCUUACCACUCCUUCCUCCACCCACAUUCACUUUGCACACGCCCUGGGCUAGCUUGGGGGUGCAGAGCAAGUACACCGGAGUCCCUUGCUUUUCACUGCCCUCAGUAUGAGGGAACACACAGAGCAGAAAACACACAAAAUCCAAUACAGCAUGCAGUGUGCUGAAAUGGAACACUCUAACAAAACAUUUGACCUACGUAGAGAAAGAAGACUAAAUUGAAAUGAGACUCUUAACUUAAAUAUCUAUAAAUAUAGUCUUUUCAUAACCCUUAAGUUCUCCAUGCAUGGCAUGAAAUGAUGUUUCUACAGUUUCCUAUUAGCUGUGGUAGCACCUUGUCCUGUCUCUCAUAUAAUUCAUUAUGCACAGUAGGUUUAAACUUAAUUGCACGAAGGUCAAAGAUACAGCAAAGUCUCACUUCUUAUGGAAUACCAGGCAUCAGCUACAAAACACAGAUACAUACUGAGAAAGUAGGAAGUAGGCUUUGAAAUCACAGAGGCAGGGCUGCAGGUGAGGCUGCACAGAGCAGAACAUUGGCUGAGGACUCCAUCACCAACAGGGUUUUCCUGAUUUCUCAAUAGAAAAAAAGAGCCCUUCGUUGCUCUUUAAUCUUCCUUUUAUCCCUCCCAAAAUGGCAUUUGACCAGUUACCUUUUGUGUUUCUUCUUACAGCCUACACAUUUACCUGUGGUUCCUUUUGAAUUUUCUAUAUCCAUGGACUUUGAAACAAGUCCUUCGAACCUUUGUAAAGAACAGGAUUGUGAAGACAGUUGUUUUUGUUCAUUCCCUCACACACUCAAUUCAACUAGAUUAGUUCAGAAAACUGAUCCAUGAAAGAAAGCCCAUAGCGUGAAAAAAAGUCAUUAAAAAUGCUGAGACCAGGCCUUAAAAAACUAGAUAUCAGUUCAAUUUGCCAAAUUUUAAAAAAUCUAACUGAAGCAAAAUAAUAUCCCUAGCCCACUAAGAGUUCUAAAAUUUAGAUUUUUGUCACAUGCUAUAUAGUUAAAUCAAUUAUUUCUUGUUUAUCAUAUUACAUUAGCUCAGACCUAAAAAAUCUGGUCCAGAAUCCUUCAGUUAACCUGAAGCGGGUCAAUGAUGUUUCCUUGCUGAUAGAAGACCUCCCGUCCUAUUGGGGUUCGUGAUGAGGACCCCAUAAGAUCAGAUCCUUUGACAGGCACUAGAUAAAUGUAAGAUUAUGACUGGACUUAGAAUUUAGAUUUAACAAGGAAAAAAAUGCUAUACCCCGCAAUAAAUGUUUCCACGUAUACUGUCUUUAUGUUGUGAUUUUUCUAAAAGGAUGAAGUAUAUGACUAUGUCAGAGAUACUAUUUACAAUUUUAUUCCAUUCCAUGUACUUCCUGUUGUUAAUUAAAUCAUUAACAGAAGCAGGAAAAGCUCAAAGACUCCCUACAAACAAUGCCCCUUUAUCAGGAGGCCCAGGAAUUGGUGUCUGGAUGGUUGACAGCACCAACCACAUUCAUUAUGCUUCUAGAGCGCUCUGUGAGGGAGAAGUUUUGAAAAGGAUAUUUGAUUAUGGGCUAAGGUCAUCAUAUCCUAUAACUGACACAUAAUGAGUGAGGAGAGUUUAUGUUCAUCACUGAACACGUCCUAGAUGUUUCAUGACGGUAUACACUACACCCAAAUGACAUCUAAAUUUUACUGCAAAUGCAGGAAGCCAAGGACUCCACUUGCCACAGCCUGUUGUGUGUGCCAGCUGCAGCUGUCUGUGCUUCAUUUUAAUGAAGGCAGACAAAGGGGGCUCUCUGGCUCCCACAUUCCUCUUGAAAGGCCCGGAGGGAAAAAAGAAUGAUAGUGGUAAAACGUUCUUCCUUUGUCCUUCUAUAAAGGGUAGGCUUUUGUAUUUUUCGCAGACUAUUGUCUCAUUAACAAUACCAUGACUUAGGGCCUGUCAUGGACAAACAGAUACAACACAGUAUACAUGACUUCCACGUACAUCCUUAAAAAACAUUUGACUGAAUCCAUAAUAGCAAAAAAUUGAAAAACAAGCAAAAUUUGGGAAAAACUUGCUCCAGCAGUAACAAAAAGGGCAGUAAAUAGAGACAGAUAGGAAGCAGUUUUUCUCCACACCUGGUUACUCUUCUACCUUGUCUUGGAUAGAGAAAAGCUAGUUAUAAUAAUCAUGGGUCAAUCCCAAAAAUAUUUAUUGGGAACCUACUCGCUAUGUACAAAGCAAGGAAAGGGCAAAACUAGAGCUGAGCUUAGGGAUUAGUGAUAAAACUACUGUAUUGAUGGGAGAGGAGAAUCGCUAGGAGGCCAUUGGGGUAGUUCAAAAGCCAUGUGGUUGACCUAGGAAGGAGGCAGUGCAAUGGAAAGAUGAAAUAGACUUUUACACAGGAAGAACUGGCAAGUGAUGGAUCUGUUCUGACACAGAAGCAUCAAAAACAGCACCAAGUCUCCAGACUGGAUAACGCAAAACAGUGUCAUGGUACCAUUUACAGAAAUGUGUGCGUCAGGAAAAGCCAUGGGCAGUGUUGAUGUUUGGUUUUGGACAGCCUGCAUUUCUGAAGAGACAGAGAAGAGGAAUGGUCAUAGGUGUGAGAGGCAAACAGCACAGAUAAGAGGCUGAGAAAAACAAUCUCAAAAAAAGGGUUAGCAUGAAAGAGCUGGAUGGUCAAUAAAACUAAAUGACACUAGAGGUAAAGAAAGAGGAAGACUGGACUGCUGGGUGUGAAACUAGGAAGCCUGUUAAUCUGAUGGAGAGGCCUCAACAGGGUGCCAGAGGAAGAAGCCACGCCAAGGUUGAUUAAGAAACAACUCAACUAGCUAACAACUCACUGCACUUACCCCUACCUUGAUUAAGAAACAACUCAAGCUAGCAGCUCAUGUCAAAAAUCUAAAUAUCAUCGAUUCCUCUCUUCCACUUACUGCCACCUCAACUCAUCCAAUCCAUUGGUUGGUCCUGUUGUUUUUGUUUCCAAAAUAUAACAUUUCUGUCUCCUCAUAUAUCAUGGUCCAAGCCAACAUCGGGACUCCCCUUGACUACUCCAACAGGAUUAGGGUUAGGGUUCUCAUUGUUUGCCCCACUGAAACUUCUGUCCCCAGGGCCCCUGUUGUUCCUGGAACUUCCUGCUAUGGCUUAUGUGGUUCUAAAUCAGUGUUUCUUGAGAUAUCUCUGGUAGAGAACCAGUCUCCACCCCUUGAAUCCACUGCAGACCAAAUGUUUUUAGAAAUACAAUAAAAAUAAAUUAAUUGUUAAAAUCA